rnacentral:sRNA from 1 species
UCAUUGACACUUUCCAGUAGACACAGGCUCCUCUGAGGGUGCGUGUAGCAUGUAGUAUCUAUGGUGCUGUGUUCCUCUUCCCCUUCUGCCUGCAGGCAAGAGAAGGAAAGAGGGAGCACGUAGGGAUCACUAAGGACAAUCCAGGCAGCCGACUCUGAGAGUCCAACUAACAGAUGUGCUAACCGGGCGUCCUGGUAAGUUUUAGAAAAUGCAGAUGCCACUAAAUUCUCCAGCUAUGACCUUUGUAGAACAGACCAGCAAGAAAUCUGCUUUCAGAGUCUUCUGGGGACAGCAGGAAUGAGGAAGAGGGGAGAGUAUCUCCUCUCCAGGUACCUGGUGAUGCUGGACCUCUCCGGCUGUGCCAGGAGCAUGCAUGAAAAGCAGAGUCCUUCACAGGCACGUAAAGGAUUGGUCAGCAGCCAGGAAACGUGGGUUCUAGAAUCUGACUUCAGCAACUGAGAUGUCUAAUGUGGAUCUACAUACCAGCUUUGGAUGCAUGGCCUGCACAUGAACAGGACACCACCACCACUACCUGAUGUGUAAAAGGAGCCCAGGAGAUAUAAUGGGGCCUCAAGGAGCAUGAAUGCAGAACCCUGGUCUCGCCUGCCUGCUUGCUGGCUAGUAGUGACAGAUUAACCCACUGUGAAACCACAGGUCACACCUUGCCAACAACAAUGUGUCCCAUAGUGGUCCUGGCAGAGGUAUGAAAAUAUGGAGUCAAAAGUAGUGUGUGUGUGUGUGUGUGUGUGUGUGUGUGUGUGUGGUGUGUAGUCCCAGGGCAAGGACACAGCCAACACAAAUGCUCUAGUUUCUGGGACCUCCCAACCUAGUAGCCCAAACCAUCUUUACCCUAGCUUUACAGUGACAGUGAGUGCCCAGGCAAACUGGGCCACUAGGAUCCCCAGGUCAGCAUGGGAUAGACUAGUAUUGGUUUAGGCCUACUAAGAUAGGGUGCUACAGAGCUAUUUAUCCCCUUCUUAUGUGCUUGCAGACAUAGAACUUUCUAGACUCCCAUACCUGAUACUCCCAUACUUUGAUCAGAUAUAAUAAAACUCAGCUUCCAGACUGGGAAAGACUAUCAGAGCCUCAUUAGCCAACAAGAGUAGGCUGUAGCGGUCACAGCUGCCAAUCAUGAAAGGCCAUACUAAGUACCAAGGACUUCAUUUUUGUUAACUCCCUGAGUUAGGCAAGAUACCAGUUACCUUGAUGGCAUGGAAAGUAAAGAAACACUGGGGGGAUUCAGAGAUUUGCUGAAAGCUACAGAGCCAAUGAGAGAGGGCCCUGUUCCCAUCAGUAGUGAGGAGCUGGGUGUCUGCGUGUAGUAUCUUGAGGCUCUGGAACAAACCAAACUGGAUCACUUUACAGAAUGGGCAGGCUACAGAGUCAAGGCAUCUGCAGGGCCUUGGCUCCGGUCUCUUGUGACCCUUACUGCUGAUGUAAGCCUUUUGGCUGAAUCUAGGAUCCAAAUCAGUACAAAGCUUAGCAACCAUGAAAAAGCAGGUAGUUUAAUAAACCUGACACACGCAUGGGGCUCCUCACCCUAUGAGUGGACUCUAAAAUGCGAUGGCUGAUACACACUUCUCAGGUGGACUAGAAAGGGGGCAGCAAACCUUUUUGGGAAGGAAUGGCAGAAAGGAUUGCUAUCUGCUCUUGGAUCAUGAGUAACUUUCUGAGACAUGGUGGGGACUGUAGAAGCCGAUGGAGGGCAAGGUUCAUGUCAGAGGCUGUCGUUGGGGAUGGUGGCAGCCACACUUCUCAGGUUCUGGUAAUGAAGGUUAUUUCGGCAUUAGCAUAUGAAGGUAAUGCCCCUUGAAGAAUCAUACGGCACAUGGGAAAGCCAAGCAAGUGGCCAUUUCUGAAGAUCAACAUUUAAGUGAUUUCAGCUGGCAAUAAUCACUUUCUGCCUAUUUUAAGAAGGCACAUGCCCACCUCCUACCAGCUGGCAGGGUCAUUAUCUCAGCCUCUUUGCCACCUCUACAUGACUUUCCCUGCCCUCCCUACAUGCCCCACCCCGGCCGUCUUAUAUUCUGUCUCUAACAUGAUCCACCCUAAUAAUGCAAGAAUAUCUCUGCCUUAUAAAAAAUCCCACUGACAAAUAAUGCCAUCCUCUGAGGGCCCAGGGAAAGAGGGAUGGGGUGUCUGAUUUCCUCAUAUCUCACGGACAUGUACCAGGAAUUACCAACACUGUGUGAUUCACAGCCAAUGCCCAACACAUACUUUUCUUUUUUUCAGGAUUCAGAUUGAACUUAGGGUAUCUUCCAUGCUAAGCAAAUGUUUGGCCACUGAAUACACCUCCAGCCAACAAGCACAUCCUGGAUAGAUGGAUGAGUAGAUGAGUAUGGAGUGGAUCCAAUACUAGACAGCAAACCCGAGUCCUCGUGUGUGAGCCUCCUCCAUUUCCUAAAGCCCUUGCCCUCAAGAGUACAUGGGCCUUGUAAUAGUCUUUCUUUUGGGGAGGGGAGGUGUUCGAGACAGGAUUUCUCUACAUAGCCUUGGCCACCCUAGAGCUUGUUCUGAAGACUAGACUGGCCUUGAACUCACAGAGACCUGCUUGGAAUUAAAGUGCUGGAAUUAAAGGCCUGCACCACCACCAUCACCUUGCUCGGCCUUAUAAUAUUCUUGCUCAGUCCAGUGACAAGGAAGUACCAGACCGCUCCAAAUGGUGGGACUCUCUCCAGAAUAACCCCUGCAGCUGAACGAGAACAUUGGUCAUGGCAGAACAGAGAAUGCCACGUGACAACAGCCCUGAUUAAAAUGGCAUGACAACUAAAUGACCACAGACAAGAGACAAACGGACAGAAAGUGCACUCUUGGGACAACUGCUGAAUACAGGACACACAGAUGAGUCAAUGGUAAUGUCGAUGUUGUAGUUGCAGUUACUGGCUUCAGUCACUGCCGCAAACAGCCUUGCCAAGCCUGUUAGCACAGCUCUCUGCAGGCAGAGGCAGGAGCAUAAGAGUUCAAGGACAACUUGGGCUACAUAGCAACAGCUGUCUAAAAAUUGCAUACGCACGUACAUACACACACACAAACACACAUUUUAGAAACUAUUUUAAGCACUAAAGUAUCCAAGGUGUAAAAUAUAUGACAUAUAAAUGUAUAUGAGUGUGAGAUACACAGAGAGAAUGAUUGAUACUUUAAAUAUGGCAAAAUGAUAAUGAUUGAUUAGCCUGAGUGAGAGCCAGCUUUUCUACUACUUGAAAUUAUUUUUAAAUUAUAUUAAAUUUAAAUAAGCUGCGUGUGAAUAUGUAACAAAAUUCAAAACGUAGAAGAGAGGUUGGGAUGUAGUUCAGUGGUAGAAUACUUGCCUUGUGUGUUGUUCAGGGCCAGCACUACAGUAAAACAAGCAUGAGCCUUAGACACUCCAAGGUAACCCUUGGUGCCUGGCUUUUGCAUCUCCUUGGUAUUCUCUUGUUCUUUCUUCUCCUUUUGUCCAAAGUCUUCCUCAGUCUAUCACCCAGGAGAGCAGUAGGGAAGGGGCAGAGGGCAGUGUCAAGAUUGAGUAGAACCCUGGGCUGGAGAGAUGGCUCAGUGGUUAAGAGCACUGACUACUCUU